AGGCUAUCUGAGGCCCCUUCAAGUAGUAAAAUGUUCUCAUUCUCUAACCCACAAUAGUAACACAAUUCUUCUUUGGUUACAACUUCUCCAAAUCAGCAAGGAAGGUAGAAGGGAGUAAAGAAAAAUAUGGGUUUUUCAGUUUCCUUAAAAUUUCUUAGGAUCAUUAAACCUGCCCUACCUUUUAACCUUGAAUAGAGACAUACAUCACAAAAUAAAGCUUCCUCCACCUGUAACCACUUAUUAUCAUAUGCCAACCUCAAAUAACACAAAAUGGGGGAGUCCUGCCAAGCUUGUCUGUCCAAGCCACUGGCAGUGCUCAGCACAUGGUAGGAUGACCACCAAUCAGGAAUUGUACAGUAGGAGUGCCCAGACUCGGGGAGAGGCAAGCUGGCGCGUCUCCAAGGUGCUUGUCACUCACCACUAGAACGUGGUCCUUUACCACUAGACAAGAUCUCCUGGUUUGACAAUGCAGGUGACACAGCUGAAACUUUAUCUCAACACGGCCUGAAGAAUACCACUGUCUAAAUAUGAGAUGCUAAAAUACUAUGACCUACUCUAAUAUUCUCUCCCAACUCUGUCCAUCCUCGUGACUGGCACCCAUGCUGGCCCAAAUGAUGACAACCUCCUGUUCUAAGUGCACAAGCCGCACAUUUAAUAAACCUUUCACCCAGUUCCUUCACUGGUGUUCAUCUCUCGGCUUCACUUACAACCACUCCCUGUGGCUUUUGCAGUGAAGCCUCUUAGCCCAAAACUCUUCCACUCCCCAAACCAUGUUUGGUCUGUAAUAUAAACAACUUCCACUCACCCUAGAAAACUGAGUGGGAAUUUCAGUGCAAUUAUCUGCAUACCUUUCCUACAGCGUUUUAUCACAAUUUGCAGUCCUCAGAGACGAAGGUGAAAGGGGAGGACUAAGGUGGCACCCUCCACUGAGGAGCACCGCCUCACGGGGACACUGCUUUCAGGAAUGCCUCCUCGCCAGUACUCUUCCACUGAGAGACACUCUGAUCUCAGAGAUACAAGAAGUCUAGAUGUGGACUAACCAGGCAACCAGU
rnacentral:lncRNA from 1 species